rnacentral:rRNA from 1 species
AGAGUUUGAUCAUGGCUCAGGAUGAACGCUGGCGGCGUGCUAACACAUGCAAGUCGAACGGUAAACCGCCUCGGGCGGACAUACAGUGGCGAACGGGUGAGUAACACGUGACCGACCUGCCCCGCGCACCGGGACAACCGCUGGAAACGGCGGCUAAUACCGGAUACUCCGCAGCCAUCGCAUGGCGGCUGCGGGAAAGCUCCGGCGGCGCGGGAUGGGGUCGCGACCCAUCAGGUAGUAGGCGGGGCGACGGCCCACCUAGCCGACGACGGGUAGCCGGGUUGAGAGACCGACCGGCCACAUUGGGACUGAGAUACGGCCCAGACUCCUACGGGAGGCAGCAGUGGGGAAUUUUGCGCAAUGGGGGAAACCCUGACGCAGCAACGCCGCGUGCGGGACGAAGGCCUUCGGGUUGUAAACCGCUUUCAGCAGGGAAGACAUCGACGGUACCUGCAGAAGAAGCCCCGGCUAAAUACGUGCCAGCAGCCGC